rnacentral:misc_RNA from 1 species
GAUGAAGAACGCAGCGAAAUGCGAUAAGUAAUGUGAAUUGCAGAAUUCAGUGAAUCAUCGAAUCUUUGAACGCACAUUGCGCCCGCCAGCAUUCUGGCGGGCAUGCCUGUUCGAGCGUCAUUUCAACCCUCAAGCUCUGCUUGGUGUUGGGGCCCUACGGUUGACGUAGGCCCUUAAAGGUAGUGGCGGACCCUCUCGGAGCCUCCUUUGCGUAGUAACUAACGUCUCGCAUUGGGAUUCGGAGGGACUCUUGCCGUAAAACCCCCAAAUUUUCUAAUGGUUGACCUCGGAUCAGGUAGGAAUACCCGCUGAACUUAAGCAUAUCAAUAACGGAGGA